AACCGGAGGGAAACUCAAUGCACAGACCCUGAUUUGCAACUUGUAAUGUAAAUCAACUCAACUGCAUCAUGUACUUACCAGCCACCUUCUCCCAACUGUGGCCGGGGCCGAGAAGCAGCAUGUUCUGUCCAUCUGUAAAAGGCCUUCUUUCUCUCUUAAGACGUCACAACUGGUUGUUACUGAGAACUUUAGAAAAACGACUAGAUCGUUUGGCUCUUUCUGGGCCUUCCACCUACACUCCAUGCCCUCUCUCCUCCCAAGAAAACACGAAUUAAAAUACAGGGAGUAUCAACCGCAUCCUGCCAACACCUCAUAAGACUCCAAGGCUUUACCGAGAUCUUCCACCUUCCCCGGGAUAAAUGAAGACAAGUGCUUCCUAGAAUCUUUAUGGUGAUGGAAAAGAUAUACUAAAAGAAGACAGAUCAGUCUCUCUCCUGAUAAGAAGAGUCACCAAGAGGAACAUCUGCAACAACUAGACAGAUGCUGCUACAAAGAGACCAAUCAACAACUGCUCAGCAGAGAUACAGAUCUGAAGCACAGAAGUGCAAUAGACCUUCCUGAUGCCUUCGCCAGACAACACGAACCUGCAAGUAAUCAUCCGACCAACUUCCUCUACUGCUUGGGAAUUGCAGGUUGUAUAAUCUUGGGAGGUCACUUCAACUAUACAAUUGGACUAAGAACACUGACUCUCGUGGGUGUUAUAAUUAAAUCAGGUAAUAUAUGGUAAGGUAAGCAUUGAUUAGUCUCUUCAUUAGUUGAUUAGCCUCUUCAAA
rnacentral:lncRNA from 1 species